GAGUUUGAUCCUGGCUCAGGAUGAACGCUAGCGGCAGGCCUAACACAUGCAAGUCGAGGGGUAACAGGGUAGCAAUAUCGCUGACGACCGGCGCACGGGUGAGUAACGCGUAUGCAACCUUCCUUUAACUGGGGGAUAGCCCGGAGAAAUUCGGAUUAAUACCCCAUAACAUCAUAGAAAGGCAUCUUUCAGUGAUUAAAGCUCCGGCGGUUAAAGAUGGGCAUGCGUGCCAUUAGCUAGUUGGUGAGGUAACGGCUCACCAAGGCUACGAUGGUUAGGGGGUCUGAGAGGAUGAUCCCCCACACUGGUACUGAGACACGGACCAGACUCCUACGGGAGGCAGCAGUGAGGAAUAUUGGGCAAUGGGCGCAAGCCUGACCCAGCCAUGCCGCGUGAAGGAUGAAUGCCCUAUGGGUUGUAAACUUCUUUUGUACGGGACGAAACUCCUGGUCGUGACCGGGAUUGACUGUACCGUGCGAAUAAGCAUCGGCUAACUCCGUGCCAGCAGCCGCGGUAAUACGGAGGAUGCAAGCGUUAUCCGGAUUCAUUGGGUUUAAAGGGUGCGUAGGCGGAAUAGUAAGUCAGUGGUGAAAGCCUGCGGCUUAACCGUAGAAAUGCCAUUGAUACUGUUAUUCUUGAGUAUAGUUGAGGUGGGCGGAAUGUGUAAUGCAGCGGUGAAAUGCUUAGAUAUUACACAGAACACCAAUUGCGAAGGCAGCUCACUAAGCUGUUACUGGCGCUGAGG
rnacentral:rRNA from 1 species